UACGGUGAAUACGUUCCCGGACCUUGCACACACCGCCCGUCAAGCCAUGGAAGCCGGGUGUACCUAAAGUCGGUAACCGCUAAGGAGCCGCCUAGGGUAAAACUGGUAACUGGGGCU
rnacentral:rRNA from 1 species